GUGAAUCAUCAAAUUUUUGAACGCACAUUGCGCUCUCUGGUAUUCCGGAGAGUAUGCCUGUUUUAGGGUCAGUUUAAAUAAAAAUCGGUGUGGUUGCUGCCUUUCGUGGUUACGCACCGGAUUUGGGUCGUCUUGCCUUCGGUUAAGUGACCUAAAAUUUGGCAUGAUUUUUUCGAACGUAUGUAAAUGAUUUUACGUACGUUUGCGAUAGCGAAAUCUGGGUGUGGUGAUCCUCAUGAUUCGCGCCUUUAAUU
rnacentral:misc_RNA from 1 species